UAAUGUAAUAAUUAGNNUGCUUUGUCAAUGCAUGCAUUGGUGGUGUCACAAAAUCGGAGGCCACGACUGUUUACUAAAAACACAAUUCAGAGCAAUGAUGAAAAUCAUAGUAUUCUGGAUGAAAUUUGCCCAAUGCCAUUAACAUAAAAGAGGUAAUAGGAAACUGUUACUAAUUGAAAGUCUGGUUAAUAGCGGUCUUAACUAUGAGGAUCCUAAGGUAGCAAAAUCAGUUGGCCAUUAAAUGUGGUCUGGUAUCAAUAGUGUAACGAUGGUCUCACUGUCUCUACAACUUGCUCAGUGAAAUUGAAUUAUCCGUGCAGAUGCGGAC
rnacentral:rRNA from 1 species